rnacentral:pre_miRNA from 1 species
GAUGUGCUCCCUCGGUUCUAAAAUUCUUGUCUUAAUUUUAUCUAGAAAUGGAUGUAUCUAAAUACAUUCAUAUCUAAAUAAAUAAAAGACAAAUUUUUUGAGACGGAGGGAGUAUGAU